UCAGGAGAGCUGUGGAAAAGAGUGCGUGCCAGGAGGGAGGGAAUGUGUUUGAGUGUGUGUUUUUGAAACAUCCUAUAUGUGAAACGCCCCAUUGCUCAUGAAACCUGAGAUGGCCUCUCUUUCUAAGGACGGGGUGCUCUGUGUGAACUUUAUAAAUGUAUCUUUGGUGAAAAUGAAUAGCCUGCUGCACGCAAUAAGAUAGAAUGCAUCAACCUGGGCUACAGUCUGUCUCUCCAGAGUCCAGAGGAGUUCCUUAGAGACAGCAUUUUCUUACACUGAUUACCCUCUGUUUUCGUUUGCCGAUACAAACACCUGAACCAGGUGCUUGCAAAAUGUCCAUUCACCUACAUCACAGGUUUGCGUGAUAUCCAGCACUGUUGUGCAACAGUCGAUUUUGUACACAAUGAAGAAUGUAACCCAAAGAAACACGCAGAGAGAAAGACCCCAUCAGAGAAAAUACUAUGCCACAAAUACUAUACCAUGUCUCUUUGUUGCACCCUCGAACAAACCAACAGGAAGUUUUUGCAGAUGAAAAUGUCCUGGAAAAUGUCAGUGAGGCCCGCAGGGAAGGAUGCUGUGAAAGAGACUGAGAUGAAAAGCCACCACAAGCUGCUCUCACUGCCAAACUGCCAUUUUGGAUUGUAAAUCAAAAUGCCUUUCAACUGUCUUCAAAUUAUGUUUAUGUGAGUGUUGCUGUUCUUGCUAUCACGCCCCAUGUUUCUGGGCACCUCUGGCUUGCGCACCUGCAGACAUACACUAACACGUGCACACACUCACACACACAGACUCACACACACACACACACACACACACACACACACACACAUAGUAAUGAAAACAGAAUUUACCUCCCAGCUUCAAUAGAGGAUCUGUCUCUGUUUUCUCUCACAUUAAAAUGUCACCAUCCCUUUCAACUGACUGCUAUUUUUGUUCCAACUCACUUGCCUUAUUGGGCCCAUUCAGUUUCAUAUCAAUGUUCCACUUUGUUUAAAAUGCACGUCCACCAACAAUCAGUAAACGUCCUUUUAAGCCUUUUGUUAGCAUUAAUGAUAGGAAAGCACUGA